rnacentral:lncRNA from 1 species
ACAUCAUAUUCUACAUUCACACAAAACACUCAAUAUCAAAGAAUUGAAUAAUGGAGUCCAACCGCAGCAACAAGCGCAAAGGUUUGGCCAAAUCCAAGAUGCUCAAGUCCUUGUAUCGCAGCAAGCCGAAGGCGGAGGCGACCGCCCCUCCUCCACUGGCGGCGGCGGCGGUGGGGUUUAUUAUCAUGAAGCAGGAUCAAGCCUUUCCUGCACAUCACAACUCAAAAGUCGCAUUCGUCGACGCCGAAUACGGCAAACUGGAGAACUUCUACAGCGACGAAGCCGUGGAUGCCAAGGCAGCCAGAUAUAUCUCCGGCGUUCAAGAGAGAUUCCGGCUUGAGCUCAUCAAUUCAGAGACCAUCAAUAUGCAGCUCAUGUAGCUAUUCAACAUACAUGUAUAAGAAUGCUUACUUCAAUUAAUUGUUAUCUCAAAUGCGUUUUAGUUUGCGUGUUUGUCUAUAUAAAUCAUAAUCUACUUAAAAAUUAA